GAUGAACGCUGGCGGCGGGCCUAAUACGUGCAAGUCGAGCGAAUAGAUGAGGAUUGUGCUUCGCUUACGUUAGCGGCGGACGGGUGAGGAAUAGGUAUAUAACCGACCGUUAGGGCUGGGAUAACGUCGGGAAACCUGAUCUAACAUCGGUUAAGAGGUUGAACGUGAUGGUUCUAUGGUGAUAGAGGUUUUUGCUGUCACUAGUUGGUGGAUCCUCGCCGCAUUAGCUAGUUGGUAAGGUAACGGCUUACCAAGGCGACGAUGCGUAGCUGACCUGAGAGGGUGAUCGGCCACACUGGAACUGAGACACGGUCCAGACUCCUACGGGAGGCAGCAGUGGGGAAUAUUGGACAAAGGGCGAAAGCCUGACGCAGCCAUGCCGCGCGUGUGAUGAAGGUCUUCGGAUCGUAAAACUCUUUUAUUAGGGAAGAACAGAAGUGUGAGUAACUCUGCACGUCUUGACGGUACCUACUCAGAAAGCAACGGCUAACUACGUG
rnacentral:rRNA from 1 species